rnacentral:rRNA from 1 species
GAACUUAAGCAUAUCAAUAAGCGGAGGAAAAGAAACCAACAGGGAUUGCCUUAGUAACGGCGAGUGAAGCGGCAACAGCUCAAAUUUGAAAUCUGCCUCUAGGCCGAGUUGUAAUUUGUAGAAGAUGCUUCGGGUGUGGCACUGGUCUAAGUUCCUUGGAACAGGACGUCAUAGAGGGUGAGAAUCCCGUACGUGACUGGCUGCCUUCGCCCAUGUGAAGCUCUUUCGACGAGUCGAGUUGUUUGGGAAUGCAGCUCAAAAUGGGUGGUAUAUUUCAUCUAAAGCUAAAUAUUGGCCAGAGACCGAUAGCGCACAAGUAGAGUGAUCGAAAGAUGAAAAGCACUUUGGAAAGAGAGUUAAACAGUACGUGAAAUUGUUGAAAGGGAAGCGCUUGCAACCAGACUUGCGCGCCGUCGAUCAUCCGAGGUUUUCCCCGGUGCACUCGGCGGUGCUCAGGCCAGCAUCGGUUUCGGUGGUUAGAUAAAGGCCUUGGGAAUGUGGCUCCUCCGGGAGUGUUAUAGCCCUCGGUGCAAUGUAGCCUACCGGGACCGAGGACCGCGCUUCGGCUAGGAUGCUGGCGUAAUGGUUGUAAGCGACCCGUCUUGAAACACGGACCAAGGAGUCUAACAUCUAUGCGAGUGUUUGGGUGUCAAACCCAUGCGCGUAAUUAACGUGAACGGAGGUGAGAACCCUUAAGGGUGCAUCAUCGACCGAUCCUGAUGUCUUCGGAUGGAUUUGAGUAAGAGCAUAACUGUUGGGACCCGAAA